GAGGGUGCAAGCGUUGUUCGGAAUUAUUGGGCGUAAAGCGCGUGUAGGCGGCUUUGCAAGUCGGGUGUGAAAGCCCUCAGCUCAACUGAGGAAGUGCGCCCGAAACUGCAGAGCUUGAGUACCGGAGAGGAUGGCGGAAUUCCCCAAGUAGAGGUGAAAUUCGUAGAUAUGGGGAGGAACACCGGUGGCGAAGGCGGCCAUCUGGACGGAUACUGACGCUGAGACGCGAAAGCGUGGGUAGCAAACAGGAUUAGAUACCCUGGUAGUCCACGCCGUAAACGAUGAGGACUAGGUGUCGUGGGUGUUGACCCCCGCGGUGCCGUAGCUAACGCAUUAAGUUCUCCGCCUGGGAAGUACGGCCGCAAGGCUA
rnacentral:rRNA from 1 species